UACGUAGGGGGCUAGCGUUGCUCGGAAUCACUGGGCGUAAAGCGCACGUAGGCGGUUUGUUAAGUCAGGGGUGAAAUCCUGGAGCUCAACUCCAGAACUGCCUUUGAUACUGGCGAUCUUGAGUCCGGGAGAGGUGAGUGGAACUGCGAGUGUAGAGGUGAAAUUCGUAGAUAUCGGAAGGAACGCCGGUGGCGAAAGCGGCGCGCUGGACCUCUUCUGACGCUGAGGAGCGAAAGCUAGGGGAGCAAACGGG
rnacentral:rRNA from 1 species